rnacentral:rRNA from 1 species
UACGGGGGGGGCAAGCGUUGUUCGGAAUUACUGGGCGUAAAGGGCUCGUAGGUGGCCAACUAAGUCAGACGUGAAAUCCCUCGGCUUAACCGGGGAACUGCGUCUGAUACUGGAUGGCUUGAGUGUGGGAGAGGGAUGCGGAAUUCCAGGUGUAGCGGUGAAAUGCGUAGAUAUCAGGAGGAACACCGGUGGUGUAGACGGCUUUCUGGACCGUAACUGACGCUGAAACACGAAAGCGUGGGUAGCAAACAGG